CCCACCAGCUGUCAGAGGUGCUGAAGCCCAUCCCAGCGCAGCCAGAACGUCCUCAUCAGGGACACACAGGCCAAUGCAGUCGGACUUAGUGUCGACAGAAGCCAGGUGAUGGAAUCGAUCUGGAAAAGCGUGACAAUCUUACGAGCACUCUGAAAUGGAACUGAUGUAGAACCUACAUGAGGACCUUGGUGUGUGAGUCCCGACGUGAGGCCCGAGGAACAGCAGCCUCCAGCACAGGAGAAUGGCUCAGUGCUCCUGCGGGAUCUGCUCUGCAUGAUAUGCAAAGGUGCAAGGGCACACGUGCAGUCCGGAAGAGCUCUGUGAGCACUGGCCAGCACUGAGACGUCCUGCGAGAAGCCCAGCACCUACUGCCUCGAACAGGGUCCUGUUCGAACAGGUCCGAAGC